rnacentral:lncRNA from 1 species
AAAAUUGUUCUUUCUCCCCUUAACAGAGAUGUCUCUCCAACAGUUAGAAGGGAAUGUUUUGAUUGAUGCAUAUCUGUUUGGUGGUUGUUCCCCACGGAGUUUCACAUCAUUUCCCGAUAAAAUCCCCAGUAGAGUUCUUCUACGAUAGAUCUUAUUGGUAUCCCGUCACUUGUCCCCAAGCAUUUGUUGGAAAAUCCCCGACGGUGAC